rnacentral:rRNA from 1 species
UACGUAGGUGGCUAGCGUUGUCCGGAUUUACUGGGCGUAAAGCGCGCGCAGGCGGUCGUUCAAGUCGAGUGUGAAAGCCCCCGGCUCAACUGGGGAGGGUCACGCGAUACUGCUCGACUUGAAGGCAGGAGAGGGAAGUGGAAUUCCCGGUGUAGUGGUGAAAUUCGUAGAUAUUCGGAAGAACACCAGUGGCGAAGGCGACUUACUGGACACAUAUUGACGCUGAGGUGCGAAAGCGUGGGGAGCAAACAGG